rnacentral:rRNA from 1 species
AGCGAACGCUGGCGGCAGGCCUAACACAUGCAAGUCGAACGAAGCCUUCGGGCUUAGUGGCGGACGGGUGAGUAACACGUGGGAACGUACCUUUUGGUUCGGAACAACUCAGGGAAACUUGAGCUAAUACCGGAUGAGCCCUUAGGGGAAAGAUUUAUCGCCGAAAGAGCGGCCCGCGUUAGAUUAGCUAGUUGGUGAGGUAAAGGCUCACCAAGGCAACGAUCUAUAGCUGGUCUGAGAGGAUGAUCAGCCACACUGGGACUGAGACACGGCCCAGACGCCUACGGGAGGCAGCAGUGGGGAAUCUUGCGCAAUGGGCGAAAGCCUGACGCAGCCAUGCCGCGUGAAUGAUGAAGGUCUUAGGAUUGUAAAAUUCUUUUACCAGGGACGAUAAUGACGGUACCUGGAGAAAAAGCCCCGGCUAACUUCGUGCCAGCAGCCGCCGUAACAC